rnacentral:rRNA from 1 species
AAUCUACCUAGUAGAAGGGGAUAGCCCGGGGAAACCCGGAUUAAUACCGUAUACCUCCUUCGGGAGAAAGAAGGCCUCUCUUUGAAGCUUUCGCUAUUAGAUGAGCCUGCGUAAGAUUAGCUUGUUGGUGAGGUAAUGGCUCACCAAGGCUACGAUCUUUAGCUGGUCUGAGAGGACGAUCAGCCACAUUGGGACUGAGACACGGCCCAGACUCCUACGGGAGGCAGCAGUGGGGAAUAUUGGACAAUGGGCGCAAGCCUGAUCCAGCCAUACCGCGUGUGUGAAGAAGGCCUUCGGGUUGUAAAGCACUUUAAGCAGGGAGAAAAAGUUAUAAGUUAAUACCUUAUAACCGUGAUGUUACCUGCAGAAUAAGCACCGGCUAAUUCCGUGCCAGCAGCCGCGGUAAUACGGAAGGUGCAAGCGU